AUCAGGAUUCUUUCUUCAGAGAAUUUUGGAUUAAGCCCUUUUGCAAAUCUGCAAGUCUUAUCAAACAAUAUAUUCAAGGACAGAGAAUUUGAGACUGCAAGAGAGCCAAGAUUUUACCCACAUGGAUUCUGAAGUUGAUGAUGACUGUGAAUAAGUAAAUUGUGUUAUAGGGAUUGUUCUCCCUCAGCUGUCAUGAAGACAAUUGACAAGCAUCUAAUGCAAACCCAGAGAAAAUACAUCCCACCAUAAUGUCCUCAACAACCCACCAAGAAGAAAUUUUUUGGUUGAGAAGAGCAACUCAGAAAAAAAAGUAACAUAAAGAUUAAAGGUCUGAUUUUACUGGUUUCAUUUCCCCAA